rnacentral:rRNA from 1 species
AUGACUCACCAUGAUAUACAACAUGAGUUAAUAAAAUGUUGUGCACAGGAGACUACAAAAUUAGUCAUUGAAGAACUUGAUGGUGGCCACUUUGCAAUACUUGCAGAUGAGUCUAGUGAUGUGUAUCAGAAUGAACAGUUGACAAUUUGCUUGCGUUAUGUUGAUAAGAAAGGAAGGGUUGUUGUAAGAUUUCUUGGUUUUGCUCAUGUUCAAGAUACUACCUCUUUGACACUUAAAGCUGCAAUUGAGCAAAUGCUUAUGAAGUACAAUUUGACCUUUGCAAUGGUUCGUGGGCAAGGAUAUGAUGGAGCUAGCAACAUGAAAGGUAAUGCUAAUGGCCUAAAAAACUGA